ACAUUAGACGAAUCAUCUGGAAAGAUGAAUCAAAGAAGGUAAUAAUCCUGUAGUCGAAAAUGUUGUCUCUCUUGAGUGGAUCCUGAGUACGACGGAGCACGUGAAAUUCCGUCGGAAUCUGGGAGGACCAUCUCCUAAGGCUAAAUACUCUCUAGUGACCGAUAGUGAACCAGUACCGUGAGGGAAAGGUGAAAAGCACCCCGGAAGGGGAGUGAAACAGAACCUGAAACCGUGUGCUUACAAGUAGUCAGAGCCCGUUAAUGGGUGAUGGCGUGCCUUUUGUAGAAUGAACCGGCGAGUUACGAUUUGAUGCAAGGUUAAGCAGUAAAUGUGGAGCCGUAGCGAAAGCGAGUCUGAAUAGGGCGUUUAGUAUUUGGUCGUAGACCCGAAACCAGGUGAUCUACCCUUGGUCAGGUUGAAGUUCAGGUAACACUGAAUGGAGGACCGAACCGACUUACGUUGAAAAGUGAGCGGAUGAACUGAGGGUAGCGGAGAAAUUCCAAUCGAACCUGGAGAUAGCUGGUUCUCUCCGAAAUAGCUUUAGGGCUAGCCUCAAGUGAUGAUUAUUGGAGGUAGAGCACUGUUUGGACGAGGGGCCCCUCUCGGGUUACCGAAUUCAGACAAACUCCGAAUGCCAAUUAAUUUAACUUGGGAGUCAGAACAUGGGUGAUAAGGUCCGUGUUCGAAAGGGAAACAGCCCAGACCACCAGCUAAGGUCCCAAAAUAUAUGUUAAGUGGAAAAGGAUGUGGCGUUGCCCAGACAACUAGGAUGUUGGCUUAGAAGCAGCCAUCAUUUAAAGAGUGCGUAAUAGCUCACUAGUCGAGUGACACUGCGCCGAAAAUGUACCGGGGCUAAACAUAUUACCGAAGCUGUGGAUUGUCCUUUGGACAAUGGUAGGAGAGCGUUCUAAGGGCGUUGAAGCAUGAUCGUAAGGACAUGUGGAGCGCUUAGAAGUGAGAAUGCCGGUGUGAGUAGCGAAAGACGGGUGAGAAUCCCGUCCACCGAUUGACUAAGGUUUCCAGAGGAAGGCUCGUCCGCUCUGGGUUAGUCGGGUCCUAAGCUGAGGCCGACAGGCGUAGGCGAUGGAUAACAGGUUGAUAUUCCUGUACCACCUAUA
rnacentral:rRNA from 1 species